rnacentral:rRNA from 1 species
AAUGGGGGCAACCCUGAUCUAGCCAUGCCGCGUGAGUGAUGAAGGCCUUAGGGUCGUAAAGCUCUUUCGCCUGUGAUGAUAAUGACAGUAGCAGGUAAAGAAACCCCGGCUAACUCCGUGCCAGCAGCCGCAGUAAUACGGAGGGGGUUAGCGUUGUUCGGAAUUACUGGGCGUAAAGCGCGCGUAGGCGGAUUAGAAAGUUGGGGGUGAAAUCCCGGGGCUCAACCCCGGAACUGCCUCCAAAACCGCUAGUCUAGAGUUCGAGAGAGGUGAGUGGAAUUCCGAGUGUAGAGGUGAAAUUCGUAGAUAUUCGGAGGAACACCAGUGGCGAAGGCGGCUCACUGGCUCGAUACUGACGCUGAGGUGCGAAAGUGUGGGGAGCAAACAGGAUU